rnacentral:rRNA from 1 species
UACGUAGGGUGCAAGCGUUAAUCGGAAUUACUGGGCGUAAAGCGUGCGCAGGCGGUUCGUUGUGUCGGCGGGGAAAGCCCCGGGCUUAACCUGGGAAUGGCCGUUGAAACUGGCGAACUGGAGUGUGGCAGAGGGGGGUGGAAUUCCGCGUGUAGCAGUGAAAUGCGUAGAGAUGCGGAGGAACACCGAUGGCGAAGGCAGCCCCCUGGGCUAACACUGACGCUCAGGCACGAAAGCGUGGGGAGCAAACAGG